CAGUUAAAUUCCCGGGAAAGAAAAAGAAAAACGGUCAACCGUCAUUCUUCUUCUUCCUCAAACCCUUCACACAAUUCACAGAAGAACAAAAUUCUCACAAGGAGAAGAUCCAUAGUGCUUGCCCCAAGCCUUGUGCGGCUUCCUUGCUCCAUUUCUAUGACCCCAUUUCCCCACACCUUCAUCUCGCCUUGCACUUGCUCUGCAACAAGAUGAUGAGCUUCUGCAAGACAAAGACCGCGCCGUCAAUCACUUCCAGGAAACUUCUCCAUCAGUUGUACUAAGGAAGAAAACACAAUCUACAAACUUGUACAGGCUUAGUUUUGCUAAUAAGAUUAUUCCAGCAAUGAUGUAGCAGUUUUUAUACGCAUCUGCAGCUGUGCUUUAAUUUCGAUGCAGUAAAGACAGAUUUUGUCUAUUGGUUUGCAUCUUCUCCCAGAUCAUUACUAUGUUCCUAAACUCAGUUAAUCCGUCGUGCCUCCGGGUCACAGAUUACCAUGUUGCAGCUAAAUUGGCUGCAGAUCAAAGCGGAUUACAGCGUUGAAAGGUUUACCUUGCGGACGCAAGAGGCAAUGGUUUUCACAGUGAAGGAAAGAUUGUUGGUGUAGAUCCAACCUACGAUCUAGCUGCUCUUAAGGCGUUUAUAUUCGUUCAUGGACGAUAGAUGAUCAGUGACAGCUUAAGUUUCCGUUUUAUUUUCGGUUGCUUUUGCUUGAAACCGUUGGUGGACUAUGCUCUUGAAGUGUUUUGCACAUGUAAAUUCCAGGUUUACAGCCUUCAAUGGUGGAAUUUUUGCUGGGAAUCCAGGAGGGGCCGUUGAUUGAUUCGUAUGGGCAUAUCAUUGGAGUUAACACAGCAACUUUCAUUCGCAACGUUAAUCUUUAAGCUUAUUCCUCAGCAUCAAACUAGGAAGAGAACUGGAAUCAAAGUGGCAUCGCCCGAAUGCGGUAACUCGUUCUUAGUUAAGACUUUUGAAUGCUUGUAUACUCUCUCUUCGUAUCGCAAAUGUGAUAUGGUACAUUUGCGAUACGAAGAUAAGAUUUUGAUCAAAACUUGCCGUUGUACGUAUUCAUCAUAUUCAAAUGUCUCUAUGAAAAACAAUGUGCAUAACAUUUCACAGAAGAAAAGAUAAAUCACAAGACUUUAGCACAUGAGAUAUCUCAAAUGCGAAAAGAAAGCUUCAUGCCAAUCUAACGAAAGCAGAGACAACUGUUCUUCAACAGAGCAACCAACGUGACAAGAAGUACGGCAAGAAGAAGGGAUUAGAAUGAGACCGAGGCAGCGCUGCUCCAUCGGAGACGGCGAGGACCGCCGUGUGCUCCGAUACUCCACCGCAUCCUGAAGAAUGAUGUUGCCUUGUUUGUCGAUGCAGUGAAAGGUCCCCAGGAAAAACCGGCCGUCCCUGAUCCCAACUAGCAUUCGCCGGAACAGAAGCUUCCUGGCGCGGUUCACGGCCGCUGGCUCCGACCCAUCUGAGCUCGCCACCUGAAUCAGCGUUUCCGCCGCUUCUUGUUCCAUGUUCGGGAUUCCGGGUUUAGAAAGAUCGGAUUCGAAUCGGCCACUGCUGCUGGGGAAAAGAAGGAGAAAGAUGAUAGUUGAAAAAAGGAAAUUUGG
rnacentral:sRNA from 1 species